UACGUAGGGGGCAAGCGUUGUCCGGAAUCAUUGGGCGUAAAGAGCGUGUAGGCGGCCUGAUAAGUCGGUUGUGAAAGUCAAGGGCUCAACCCUUGAAUGCCGACCGAUACUGUCAGGCUAGAGUCCGGAAGAGGCGAGUGGAAUUCCUGGUGUAGCGGUGAAAUGCGCAGAUAUCGGGAGGAACACCAAUGGCGAAGGCAGCUCGCUGGGACGGUACUGACGCUGAGACGCGAAAGCGUGGGGAGCAAACAGG
rnacentral:rRNA from 1 species